rnacentral:rRNA from 1 species
AGAUUGAACGCUGGCGGCAUGCUUUACACAUGCAAGUCGAGCGGCAGCGCGGGGCUUGGGGCAACCUGAGUCCUGGCGGCGAGCGGCGAACGGGUGAGUAACACAUCGGAACGUAUCCAUAAGUGGGGGAUAGCCCGGCGAAAGCCGGAUUAAUACCGCAUACGAUCUUAGGAUGAAAGCAGGGGAUCGCAAGACCUUGCGCUUUAGGAGCGGCCGAUGUCCGAUUAGCUAGUUGGUGGGGUAAAGGCUACCAAGGCGACGAUCGGUAGCUGGUCUGAGAGGACGACCAGCCACACUGGGACUGAGACACGGCCCAGACUCCUACGGGAGGCAG